GCGCUGGCGGUGUCAACAUUACAGGAUUUUAAUUGACUUUCGGAGAUGAGUUGGCGUAUACAAAGGAACCACCAAAUGCUAUCAAGAACUCAUCAGCCCAGACGUUUUGUCCAUGACUGUACAGUGGCAUGAUGAAUUCAUGACAUGGCUAAAGGUCAGCCUCCAGCCAAACAACAACUGAUGGACUGAAACAGCAGCCUAGCCAUCCCCUGUUAGAGACCAAUGAAUUCUGAGUCUUCACUUUACUUCUCCACACCACAGAGAUGUGGACUGGACAACCUUGUUAGGUGACAGAGGAUUCUACUGGCCUUCAAUCAGACCACCUGUCAGUGUGCAUGCUGCUGUUUUCCUGAGGCUGUGUACAUUCAAGCUGUCACAUAAGUUUUUUUUACAGAGGCGGAAUGCAGAGUUAGGACUAUGACGGACGCCUGUGGGCAUUCAAUCACAGAAGAUGAGGUUUCCCAGCACAGCCAGCUCAGCAAGGCCCAUGUCAGUCACAUAGCUAAUGACCGUUUCAGUGACGGCUUCCUAUCAACGUAAUAAGAAGCACCUGUUAGCGGUGGAGCCCAAACUUGGAAAUGGGUGUAAUCAACCCCGGGGGACUGAUUGAAUCCUUCCUUCUGACGGUGGAGACGCGCUUCAGCGCAGGGCCACUGGAAAAGGAUCUUCCCGGAUUACUCGAGGACGGACACGCCGGAUGAGCCUUAUUGCAUGCCGACUGUAAACGUGACGCAAGGGAAGCCUGCGGAAGUCUCCGUGGAUGGCUCCUGGUCGAUUAAGGCCAUUGUGUGAUUUCAUGUCUUCCUAAGCACAAUGAGCAAUGAGAUUAGGUUCAAUUUGGACCUGCACUUGGAUUUCCCCACCUCCGUCAAGGCCCGAGCCCCCGCCAUGUCAGCCUGGGCCCACUGGGAAAUCAGUGAUCUCCAGACAGGUCACCGCUGGCCCAUGUAUAUAUUCAUGGGCUUAAUCUCGCAUCAUUUCUAUGGCAUGAGGAAAAGAAAUGCAUUCAAUUUACACUCUCUCCAUUCGCCUCAUACAGUACACACAGGGGAGGCAUCCAUAUGUGUGUCUAACAUGCUAAGGAUUCAUUCGGUUAGCGCAAAACGUUUUGCAAGGCAGAAUCCAAUUCGUGAAAUUCAGCCUGUAUGCUUUAACUCAGAGCGGAGCCUCAGUGGGAGACUGCUGGUUGGAGUGGAAGGCUUCAAGUUGUCUCCGGCAGAUGCUGAGUGUGUAUUAAACAGAUUAAUUAUUAAAACAUGCUUGACAGAUGAAAAGUGGGACCUCGGGCUAAAGAGAGAAUGUUUAUUCUUCUGCCAUAUACUGUAGUCAUUUGGCUACCGUUCACAAGUUAUUGGGCACCUUGUUGAGGAUUUGAGGGCUCGGUGUCAUAUGUGCGACGCACAAACUGUUUGGGGUUGUCCAGACCGGCACAGCUCUGAUGGAAAGUAUGAGGCCCUUUAUGGACCUGAUUUACUGAUUCAAAGUGUCUGUCUGUGGGUAUUGCAUCUUGACGUGGUGACGGGAUACUACAGCAAUAUAUAGAUUGUUUAAAUUAUUUCCACUAUAAAUCUGUUAAUGAUUUACAUUUAUGCAUUUAGUAGAUGCUUUUAUGUGACAUACUUUGCAUUUUACAUUGCACAUGCAUUUUACCUCUUAUAUUUACUUAUAUGCAUUUUUUUUAAUCUAGCCAAAAUAUCUAUAAGAAGAUAUUGUAAAGAAUGAUGAAGAGCAGUUUAUGUCCAUGGAUGGAUAGAUAAAGACAUUUUUCAUUUAAUAACAUCUUUUGUGUUCCAGAGCUGAAAAAGGUAUACAGAUUUCGAGUAAAAGAUGAGAAAAUGUUCUCUUUUUGAUGAAUUCCCUUUAAGAUGGAAGAGUGUAGUUUUGGAAUGAAAUAUGUUUUUGUUGCUGCUGAUCUGCCACACUACUGCAGGAAAAUAAGCGGGAACCGGAGGGAAAACAACCUCUUUUGUUGGUCUUCAUGAUAAAUUUUGCAUGCAUAUUAACCAGCAGGGAUGGCUGCCAACGUGCUAAACAGUGGUGAUUGCGAUUUCUGUUUUAUAGAGAAAAAGGGGAGAUGUGUUGCAAGUGGCUCUCUCUGUUGUGUUUCAAGGCCAAACCGAGCUGCAUCUGGCAGCGGGUCUGAAUGCCACCUGCUCCAACAAGUCCCUGAGCCUUUCCUCCAAAACAUGUGACCAUGCAAAUUGGGAACAAAUUAUUCUGUCCGAGAACGGAGCAUUUGCUGCAGCAAAAAACGAUCAAGAAAGGGCCCUUCUCCCAUUAGACAGCGAAGACAUGCGGUGGCAGCCACCGGUUACCUGGCCUCCCUGUUGACAGGGCUGUUGCUGAUAGCCCCCAGCCCCCCUGGACCCUAGGGAAUGGGCCUCAGAUGCAGAUGAUCACUAUUAGGAGCCGGACAGGCCUCCCCUCAGAGCGAUUAGCAUUCCCCUGGCGUGACCUACAGGUGUAGCCCAGAUUAAGUGAAUAAAUUCAUCGCCCUGAGGAUCACUGGGCCUGACCCCUGCUGCUGGCGCCUGAAUUAGAAUGUGUUUGGAGCUCGCGGGCACGGAGAUGAUUGCAAGCUAAACAUGGACGGCGACAAAAAGAGGGGGAAGGAAUGAUGUCAAUGGCGAAGGUUUAUUUGCAAAACAAACUAACUGUUCUAUUAGAUUUCUCACCCAUCCAAGUAAGAAUUGACUACAUCUUUUAUUUUGCCAGUGCGUUUGAGUCUGCAUAGGGAAGGGGGGGUUUCGAGUAAUUCAGGCUCAUGUUUUGUUUCCUGUAAUUUAAUCUGAAACUAGCUUGUUUUUCUUUCCCCAUCGGACUUGCCUGUUCUGUUGACAUUUUUCCUGUUAUUUGUAUACUGCAAAGUGGUCCAUUUUUCCCCCAUCAAAACCGCUUUUCUCAGUAUGUGUCAGGAUGUCUUUUGAAUUUACCUUCAGCUCCUGACAGACUUUAGAACGGGGCGCGUGUACACAGACGAGGGGAAGAUUCCUUUGUGCCCUGAGCAUUUUCGUGAAGGCAGAGCCUGGCUCAAAGGCUGUCAACACAAACACUGCUGGUUUGCUCUCAGUUGCACUCCCUGUAAAGGUUGAGCAGUUGAAACACACAUGGGUUAACACCAUGCUCAUUAUGUACUUUUUCAUCUCAGUGUUUACCUUAUUGAAAGGAAAAUAGCCAAGGAAAAGAAACCAUCACUGUGUUCCCAAAGCAGUGGUAUAGGGUUGAUGUGUAUCACAAUACAGCAGUUCAUGGUUUAUGAAAGAUUUCAAUAGCACAGCAAAUAACUAAUAUGCUAACAAUGUUCUAUAUAAUUAAUAUAUAAUACCAAAAAAGGCUUCAUUAAUCAAACAGUCCUAAAGAAAAAUGUCACUGUUUCCACAAAUGUAUUAAUAAAUAUUCAACAAUUUAUUAUUAAUUCUGAAGGAUAAUUUGGCACUGAAGCCUGGAUUAAUGGCUCCAAUAAACUGUAAUAAUAUUUCACAAUGAUUAUUACUGUAUUUUUGAUAGACUAAAUGCAGUCAAACAUAAGAGACGACAUAUAAGAUAUUAAACCAUCUUACUGACCCCAAACUUUUGAACCACAUUUCUCACAAUAUACACUAAUUUUCCUCUUGCUCUCAGAUAUUAGACAAUCCACAUUCUGGCUCUCAACAUGCAAUGUUGCCUUAAUAGAGACCAGAACUGACCUUAGCUAUUUACCAAAAGACUUGGCCUGAAUCUUCAUAGCAAUUUGCCAGGGCAUACUUUUAUUUCUGUGGUCUGUUGAAUGCUGUCACUAUCAAUUACAGUACCCCUGUAUUCAUUACACCAAUAAUGAACCCAUUUAUAUAAUCUUUUUCCUGCAGUGAUUCAUACUCUUACAUGGACAAAGUGAUUGUUAGUGGAAAAAAUUGUGUUAGGAACCCAUAUAUCCCAAGUCCAGGAUUGCCAUAGGGGUCGGUUGAUGGAACGAACAUGGGAAAGAGAUAUUUAACUCAACAGGUAUCACUGUGAGUAUGGCAUACUUUUUUUUACCAGUUUGCACUUAUUUAUAAUGGCAGAACUGACUCUUACUACUCUUUUGCAUAGAAGACAGUGAUUGCUUUGCAUCUCAAAGACAUCAAACCACUAACCAUCUCUGGCACCCCAUAGACAGUCUGUGUUUGCGGUUGUUGUUUUUAACGUGUGAGUUGAUAUCUGUGUGCUCUAUGCAGAGCAGAUGCAGUGGAGGGAGAGAUCUUUCAAACCGCAGCUAUGCUCUCGUUGUCUUGCAUCAUGUAACUGCAUAUUUUGGUGGAGGCCCUCGUAAGAGCAGCUAUAAAUGAGGGUUAAAUGCUGAGUUCACCCCGAUCUCCUCUGCACUUUCUCUGGACACCACAUGGUGACCACAAUUGCAAACUGUGUUGUGAAGUCUAUGAAAGGAAGUGGGUUAUAUUUUGUUCUGUUUUCUUCCUGAACUGUCAUAUUUUAUAAUUCAAAAGCCAGAGAGAUAUCUUUGGCCAGAAGGGUUCCAAUUCAUGAGUUGAAAUUUGAAUUGAAUUGGCUCUGCCCCACAGGAAGUUGAAAAAGUUGAUAGGAAGAGAAAUUUGAGUUGUAAUUCAGAGACAUUCACCACAGGCAAUGCAUACUGGGAAGUUAAGUGUUCUUCCAUCCCGGUCCACAACAGUUAAUCUAUGAAAUGUGUUUUCAUCCAAUUUAAAUAAAUGUUUAAAUCAUUCCUUUCAUCCCAUAAGUAAAUACUUGCUUUUAUUGUUGUGAUUAUGAUUAUUUUAAUUCCUGUUAUGUAAAGUGGUUUGAAGUACCAUUGUGUAUGAAAUGUGCUAUAUAAAUAAA